ACUUCAGUGGUGCAGUUGUUAACGCGUUAGACUUAGGAUCUGGAGGCUGGUGGUUCGAGUCCAAUUCAAAGUC
rnacentral:tRNA from 1 species